rnacentral:piRNA from 1 species
UGUCCACUCUAUGACUCUUAGACGAUGGGA